rnacentral:misc_RNA from 1 species
UCCCCGUUAUCCGGGGCAGUUUCACCCGAGUUCUCGCCAUUACGCGUUAGCAACAGGUGAUAAGGGUUGCGCUCGUUGCGGGACUUAACCCAACAUCUCACGACACGAGCUGACGACAGCCAUGCAGCACCUACGCAGCAGCCCUUGCGGGAAGGAGUGUUUCCACCCCAGUCCACUGCGCUUCGAGCCCAGGUAAGGCUCUUCGCGUUGCGUCGAAUUGAACCACAUGCUCCACCGCUUGUGCGGGCCCCCGUCAAUUCCUUUGAGUUUCAGUCUUGCGACCGUACUCCCCAGGCGGAAUGCUUAAAGCGUUAGCGACGGCACCCGGGGACUACAUAACCCCAGACACCAAGCAUUCAUCGUUUAAGGCUAGGACUAC